UGGCGCAGCUAAGCCUUCUGUCUUGGUGUGUUGUCGGUGAUAGCCAGUCUUCUGUGUGCAGUGUGGCUGGCUGCUGAGGCAUGGAAAUCAAUUGCUUUGUGGAUGCUGUGCGCACUACUAAAAGUCCGCUCUGAUCACGAUACAAUUGAGCCGCGGCAUUUGAAACUCUGCACACUUUCCGGGGAUGGGCCCAUGCCAACAGAGUGAGGCAGCUGCUUUCCGCCACCACUCCUUGGAAGACUGCUGCUGUUUUGGCUCUAUGUAGCUUUAUGCUCUAUCCGCUCGGUUCUGAUAUGGGCUUGUUGGCCGAGCGGGCUGCUGCAUGAGCCGCGUCAACUCUGCUUGGCUGCGGAAGCAUGGACUAAUUGGCCAAGCAGGCUCC